GGUGGCUUCGUAUAGUGGCUAGUACAACACGUUGUGGUUGCGAAAAUUCGAUUACUUCAAACGUACCGUGUAAACCUGGGUUCGAUUCCCAGAGCCGCCA